AUUGAACGCUGGCGGCAGGCUUAACACAUGCAAGUCGAGCGAGCGGCGGACGGGUGAGUAGUGUCUGGGAAAGUGCCUGAUAGAGGGGGAUCACUACGGGAAACGGUAGCUAAUACCGCAUACAAUCAGGUGUGCACAGAUGGGAUUAGCGAGUAGGUGGGGUAAUGGCUCACCUAGGCGACGAUCCCUAGCUGGUCUGAGAGGAUGCCCAGCCACACUGGAACUGAGACACGGUCCAGACUCCUACGGGAGGCAGCAGUGGGGAAUAUUGCACAAUGGGCGCAAGCCUGAUGCAGCCAUGCCGCGUGUGUGAAGAAGGCCUUCGGGUUGUAAAGCACUUUCAGCGAGGAGGCGUUACUCGCAGAAGAAGCACCGGCUAACUCCGUGCCAGCAGCCGCGGUAAUAC
rnacentral:rRNA from 1 species